CUUUAUUUGGAUCCUGAUUCAGACAAACCAACUGAAAACAAAACAGCAAUUUAUGACAUUUGAGACUAUGGAAAUUGGAACAUUUACUAGAUAUUUGAUGAUGUAAAGAAACUGUUUAGUAUUGUGGUUAUGUGUCCUAAAAGUCCCCAUUUUCUAGAUACCAACUGAAAUAUUAUGUAAAAGAACCUUGAUGACUCAAAGGUUCAAUAAUAAUUGCUAAGCUUUGGGCCGUUCUUCCCAUCUGUGAAUAUGCUAAGCCACCAUCAGCCUUCUUUCCUAGUCUCUCAUGUUAUAGCUAGAGUUCAGACAAUACAAAGCGGAACCGUCGGAAUCAGCUAUUUUGCUAAUCAAAGUGGUAGAAAUAAACCAGUUCAAGUAGCUGAAACUGGAAGACAUUUCCCACUCUUCAUGCAGAAAUGCGGCCAAUACGAGGGGAUAUAGUAUGAAUGAUGCAAUUUAAUGAUUCAUUUUCAAUUUAAGAAGAUCCUAUUUAAAUGCAAUGCUUCAAAAUAAAAAUGAUUCCAACGUUUAGCUCUAAGAGACAUAGUUCCAGGUAUUUCCCACAACCUGAUUUGGAAUUUAGUUACAUUCAGGAAAAGCACUGAAACUAGCUGGCCAUAUAUCCAAGAGUGAGGGCCUGCCUAUAUAGCAAACAUCACCAGCUCUGGACACAAGACUGCCUAAGUUUAUGGCACAGAUCCACCUUUUGAUUGUUGUAUGACCUCUGGUCAAGUUAUUUAACCUUUUUGUGCCACUGAUAUUCACCCAUAAGACAGGGAUAGCAUUUGUUGUUGGUAGAAUUCAAUGAAUACAAAUAAUACAUACAAAUGACUAGUACAAAGUAAGUAUUCAACGAAUGAUAUUUAUAUGGCUGUGAACUUAGGGAUGCAAGGACUGACUGGAUCACAUUAAAACUUUUCUCUGAUGAAAACAAUGUAGUUUUUUGGGGGUGUGUGGUGGUCAACAGGGUCUUGCUCUGUCACCCAGGCUAAAGUGCAGUGCUGUGACCAUGGCUCACUACAGCCUCAAUUUCCUGGGCUCAAGCAAUCCUCCCACAUCAGCCUCCCAAGUAGCUGG
rnacentral:lncRNA from 1 species